rnacentral:rRNA from 1 species
GCUUCUUUUUCCCCGGAGCUUGCUCCACCGGAAAAAGAAGAGUGGCGAACGGGUGAGUAACACGUGGGUAACCUGCCCAUCAGAAGGGGAUAACACUUGGAAACAGGUGCUAAUACCGUAUAACAAUCGAAACCGCAUGGUUUUGAUUUGAAAGGCGCUUUCGGGUGUCGCUGAUGGAUGGACCCGCGGUGCAUUAGCUAGUUGGUGAGGUAACGGCUCACCAAGGCCACGAUGCAUAGCCGACCUGAGAGGGUGAUCGGCCACAUUGGGACUGAGACACGGCCCAAACUCCUACGGGAGGCAGCAGUAGGGAAUCUUCGGCAAUGGACGAAAGUCUGACCGAGCAACGCCGCGUGAGUGAAGAAGGUUUUCGGAUCGUAAAACUCUGUUGUUAGAGAAGAACAAGGAUGAGAGUAACUGUUCAUCCCUUGACGGUAUCUAACCAGAAAGCCACGGCUAACUACGUGCCAGCAGCCGCGGUAAUACGUAGGUGGCAAGCGUUGUCCGGAUUUAUUGGGCGUAAAGCGAGCGCAGGCGGUUUCUUAAGUCUGAUGUGAAAGCCCCCGGCUCAACCGGGGAGGGUCAUUGGAAACUGGGAGACUUGAGUGCAGAAGAGGAGAGUGGAAUUCCAUGUGUAGCGGUGAAAUGCGUAGAUAUAUGGAGGAACACCAGUGGCGAAGGCGGCUCUCUGGUCUGUAACUGACGCUGAGGCUCGAAAGCGUGGGGAGCAAACAGGAUUAGAUACCCUGGUAGUCCACGCCGUAAACGAUGAGUGCUAAGUGUUGGAGGGUUUCCGCCCUUCAGUGCUGCAGCUAACGCAUUAAGCACUCCGCCUGGGGAGUACGACCGCAAGGUUGAAACUCAAAGGAAUUGACGGGGGCCCGCACAAGCGGUGGAGCAUGUGGUUUAAUUCGAAGCAACGCGAAGAACCUUACCAGGUCUUGACAUCCUUUGACCACUCUAGAGAUAGAGCUUCCCCUUCGGGGGCAAAGUGACAGGUGGUGCAUGGUUGUCGUCAGCUCGUGUCGUGAGAUGUUGGGUUAAGUCCCGCAACGAGCGCAACCCUUAUUGUUAGUUGCCAUCAUUCAGUUGGGCACUCUAGCAAGACUGCCGGUGACAAACCGGAGGAAGGUGGGGAUGACGUCAAAUCAUCAUGCCCCUUAUGACCUGGGCUACACACGUGCUACAAUGGGAAGUACAACGAGUCGCGAAGUCGCGAGGCUAAGCUAAUCUCUUAAAGCUUCUCUCAGUUCGGAUUGUAGGCUGCAACUCGCCUACAUGAAGCCGGAAUCGCUAGUAAUCGCGGAUCAGCACGCCGCGGUGAAUACGUUCCCGGGCCUUGUACACACCGCCCGUCACACCACGAGAGUUUUAACACCCGAAGUCGGUGAGGUAAC